AAACCGGAAGUCGUCAGUCAAGCGAACGUGAGGGCUUUCUGCGAAAACGGUUACAAACAAAUCUAAAUGUAAAAAAAACCCUAAAACUUACCAUAUCCCAUAGCACCUGGUUGAUAAGGGAACAAGGUUGAUAGUGUUUGGGGGCCGGGCCAAAUGUGGAGGAGGGCCGGAUCUGGCCCGCGGGCCGUAGUUUGGGGACCACUAGUCGAGACGACCCUUUCAUCAACUCUUCAAUCAAAAGACCACAUUUAAGUUUUCGUGGCGCCGGUUUCUUCAAGCAUCUGCAUCAUCUCAGCUCCUCACAACCUUCAUCUGGGACUUGGCUCCAGUUUCUUGAUACCGAGCUGUACACGACGUCAAGCAAGAAGAUUAAAGAAAAAGAAGUUAAAAUCCCUCAGAAUCCCAGGAAACAUCUGCAACAAUAACAGUCAGUGCUUGAGCCGCUCACAGCUGCGUUACAACAGUAAACCUGGACGAUGACGCCGCGGCAACGACCAGACGGAUGUAAAGUAGCUGGUGUUAUUCAAAUCUGAUUAAAAUUCUCCACCGCAAUUAUUAUUUCUGUUAGUCUAAAAAUGUUUGAAAAGACAACUGAAUAAUUG
rnacentral:lncRNA from 1 species